rnacentral:rRNA from 1 species
UACGGAGGGUGCGAGAGUUAUUCGGAAUCACUGGGCGUAAAGAGCACGUAGGCGGAUUGGUAAGUCAGAUGUGAAAUCCCGGAGCUCAACUUCGGAACUGCAUUUGAUACUGCUAGUCUUGAGUGAGGUAGAGGGGGGUGGAAUUCCCGGUGUAGAGGUGAAAUUCGUAGAUAUCGGGAGGAACACCAGAGGCGAAGACGACCCCCUGGGCCUCUACUGACGCUGAGGUGCGAAAGCGUGGGGAGCAAACAGG